rnacentral:rRNA from 1 species
GUGCCAGCAGCCGCGGUAAUACAGAGGGUGCUAGCGUUAAUCGGAUUUACUGGGCGUAAAGCGUGUGUAGGCGGUUCGUUAAGUCGGGUGUGAAAUCCCUGGGCUCAACCCGGGAAUUGCAUUCGAUACUGGCGAGCUAGAGUACGGUAGAGGGCGGCGGAAUUCCGGGUGUAGCGGUGAAAUGCGUAGAUAUCCGGAGGAACACCGAUGGCGAAGGCAACCGCCUGGGCCUGUACUGACGCUGAGACACGAAAGCGUGGGGAGCAAACAGGAUUAGAUACCCUGGUAGUCC